CAGCAGUAGCCGCGGGAAUACAGAGGGUGCAAGCGUUAAUCGGAAUUACUGGGCGUAAAGCGCGCGUAGGUGGUUUGUUAAGUUGGAUGUGAAAUCCCCGGGCUCAACCUGGGAACUGCAUCCAAAACUGGCAAGCUAGAGUAUGGUAGAGGGUGGUGGAAUUUCCUGUGUAGCGGUGAAAUGCGUAGAUAUAGGAAGGAACACCAGUGGCGAAGGCGACCACCUGGACUGAUACUGACACUGAGGUGCGAAAGCGUGGGGAGCAAACAGGAUUAGAGACCCCAGUAGUCCCUGUCUCUUAUAC
rnacentral:rRNA from 1 species